CCUUAUUCUUCCUGUUUGGAGUUAGGACUUGAUGUUGGAGAUGGGGCAGCCAUCUUCUGCCCAUGAGGGAAGAAGUGUGUGCUAAGGAAGGCUGCGUAGAGGGAUUAAAAGAGCUCAGGUGGCUGAUGACAUUUGGACUACCUUCCUUCUGACUUUUCAUUACGUGAGAAAAAUAACCACCCCCACCUCUACAAAUUGUGCACCCAGCUCGAAGCCCAGUGUGUGGUAGGCCCUCAAUAAAUGCCUGCGGAAUGACCUCACCUGGAGCCUGGCCUGCACCGCCUGGGGGAGUAGUCUCAGCAUCUGCCAUGGCCAUCCGGGUGGCUGUUUUAAUUGGGCAGCACAUUCCUGAAGAGCCACCCAUCACUUCUCACCUGUGCCUGGCUUCCAAGCUCCUCAGUUUCUCCAUGUGCAUCACGUACCCCUGGCCCCACAGGCUGAGAGGAGUCAUGCAUCGAGUGGCUGUGGUCCUGAAAAGCCUUGCACACGAGAAAAGCAAGAAUACUGGAGCGGAUUGCCAUUUCCUUCUCCAGGGGAUCUUCCGGACCCAGGGAUGGAACACACAUCUCCUGCAUUGCAGGUGUAGAAGGUAACUCCAUGAUGACCAGACUGUACCCAGGUUAUGAGCUGCCAUAAUUCUAAGAACUGACCGCAAAGACAUGGGAACAAACUGACCCCGGAACUGAAGAUUAACUGUACCUAAAACAAUCAAGAUGAUGCUGGUCUGCAGACCACUGAUGACCAAUUUAAAGAUGACUCUUAGAGAUGACUGUGCUUUUUCUGCACACAGCCCCCCACCCCACCCUGUCUAUAAAAGCUCUCACCCCCUGCUUGUUGGGGGCAGUGGCAGGGGGGCAGUCGGCCUUUGGACAGACGUCUACAACCUUCCCCUUGCCCAACCCCCAGUUGCCAGCAUCUGAAAUAAAGCAAACUGUCCUUUGC
ensembl:lncRNA